AACAGCAGUGGUUAAUCAUACCCGUUGUCCUCCCAGUACAUAGGGGACCUGCACCCUGAUGUCACAGAGGCCAUACACUACCAGAAGUUCUCUCCUGCUGGGCCCAUCAUGUUCAUCUUCAUCUGUCGUGAUGUCAUCACUCGCAGGUCCCUAGGAUAAGCCUACAUCAACUUCCAGCAGCCCACUGAUGGUCCUCAAGGGUCGACCUACCAGGGCUACGGAAGUCUGGAGCUGGAAACAUUUUUAUCACGAACAUGGACGAGUCCAUUGACAACAAGGCCAUGUAUGACACAUUCUCAGCCUUCGGGAAUAGUCUCUUGCAAGGUUGUGUGUGAUAAGAAUGGCUCCAAAGGCUACAGCUUUGUUCACUUUGAGACUCAAGAGGCAGCCAAUCGAUACCAUGAAUGGAAUGCUGUUGAAUGACCGGAAAGUUUCUGUUGGCCACUUUUAAGUCCUGAAAGGAAUGACAGGCUGAGUUUGGUGCCCAAAGCCACGAAGUUCACCAAUGUGUACAUCAAGAACUUUGGCGAAGAAUAUAGCGAUGACAAACUCAAGGAGGUCUUUUCUGCAUUUGGCAGGACCCUCAGUGUGCGGUUGAUGAUGUACGAAAGGGGCCCGUCUUUGGAAACCACUACUACUCUGAAGUUGCUCCCUUUUGUGUCAUCUCAUCAACCAGCAUGAUGUCAUUAUAAUGUGAACAUUUGGGAACAUGACAUUUAAAAUUGGUCUUUUCUGAGUUGACUUUGGCUGCUUUUAGGCAGUUGAGGAGAUUAAUGGGAAAGAAUUCAUUCCUGGUCGAGUUUUGUACGCGAGCCGCGCUCAGAAGGGGAUUCCGCGACAGGGGAGCUGAAACGGAAGUUUGAGCUGACGAAACAGGAACGCAUCCACCGUUAUCGGGUAAUAUGGGGAAAUGCACACACCUGUGUCAUGAAGAAAAAUGUCUUUAACGUAAAUUCAUUGGAAGAAGUGUUUUGUGUUGUUUCAGUGGGUCAAUUUGUACGUCAAGAACUUGGAUGAUAGGUUAGAAGAUGAGAAACUCAGGAAGGAGUUUGCCCCUUACGUCACCAUCACAAGUGCCAAGGUAGUAAUACCCAUACUUUUUCAUAAGUAGCCAUCCAAUGAUGCAUCACAAUGACUGAGAUGAACGGCCCCAUCAUGGCCACCAAUCCGCUGUAAGUGGCUCUAGCCCAGUGCAAGGAGGGGAGUAAUGCCAUCCUCACCAACAAGUACAUGAAGAGGCUGGGCACCGUCGGGACCAUGCCCAGCCCAGUUAUCGACUCCUACCAGCAGGCAGGCUACUACAUGUCUGCUGUGCCUCAGGUCCGUAGUACAGUUGGAGGGAGGAGGUAAUCACUAGAUAGCUCACAGGCUUGCUAAUUUUGUCGGUUACCUUUAGUCUUUUAUCUUAGGACUGGCCUGGAACUCUGGGAUGCUGGCCUUCGCGGUAGAGUUGCAAAGAAAAAGCCAUAUCUCAGACUGGCCAAUAAAAAAAAGAUUAAGCUGGGCAAAAGAACACAGACACUGGACAGAGGAACUCUGCCUAGAAGGCCAGCAUCUCGGAUGUCGCCUCUUCACUGUUGACGUUUAGGCUGGUGUUUUGCGGGUACUAUUUAAUGAAGCUGCUAGUUGAGGACUUGUGAGGUGUCUGUUUCUCAAACUAGACACUCUAAUGUACUUGUCCUCUUGCUCAGUUGUGCACAGGGGCCUCCCACUCUAUCUAUUCUGGUUAGACACAGCGUUGUAUGAGUUCUUCAGUUUCUUGGCAGUUUCUCGCAUGGAAUAGCCUUCAUUUCUCAGAACAAGAAUAGACUGACGAGUUUCAGAAGAAAGUGCUUUGUUUCUAGCCAUUUUGACCCUGUAAUCGAACCCACAAAUGCUGAUGCUCCAGAUACUCAACUAGUCUAAAGAAGGCCAGUUUUAUUGCUUCUUUAAUUAGCACAACAGUUUUCAUCUGUGCUAACAUAAUUGCAAAAGGGUUUUCUAAUUAUCAAUUAGCCUUUUAAAAUUAAACUUGGAUUAGCUAACACAACGUGCCAUUGGAACACAGGAGUGAUGGUUGCUGAUAAUGGGCCUCUGUACGCCUAUGUAGAUAUUCCAUUCAAAAUCAGCCGUUUCCAGCUACAAUAGUCAUUUAUAACAUUAACAAUGUCUACACUGUAUUUCUGAUCAAUUUUGUUAUUUUAAUGGACAUUUUUUUGUUGCUUUUCUUUCAAUAACAAGGAAGUUUCGAAGUGACCCCAUACUUUUGAACGGUAGUGCAUAUCUGAAAAUAAAAUCAUGCUGUUUGCAGUGGGUUAUGUUUAUUCUACCAGUGUUAAACCAUUUAAAGGAAAAGAAAGUCAUAUUUUUGUGCUUUAAACAUGUCUAUCACAUCUCAUUUGUUGUGGAUCUGUGGAAUGAAAUCCCCUUCAAUUUUUCUUUUAUAGAUCAAUGAUUAGUUCAAAACAAUAGAA